AACGAACGCUGGCGGCAUGCCUAACACAUGCAAGUCGAACGAGACCUUCGGGUCUAGUGGCGCACGGGUGCGUAACGCGUGGGAACCUGCCCUUAGGUUCGGAAUAACUCCCCGAAAGGGGUGCUAAUACCGGAUAAUGUCUUCGGACCAAAGAUUUAUCGCCUUUGGAUGGGCCCGCGUUGGAUUAGCUAGUUGGUAGGGUAAAAGCCUACCAAGGCGACGAUCCAUAGCUGGUCUGAGAGGAUGAUCAGCCACACUGGGACUGAGACACGGCCCAGACUCCUACGGGAGGCAGCAGUGGGGAAUAUUGGACAAUGGGCGAAAGCCUGAUCCAGCAAUGCCGCGUGAGUGAAGAAGGUUUUCGGAUCGUAAAGCUCUGUUGUAAGAGAAGAACGAGUGUGAGAGUGGAAAGUUCACACUGUGACGGUAUCUUACCAGAAAGGGACGGCUAACUACGUG
rnacentral:rRNA from 1 species